rnacentral:rRNA from 1 species
AUGGAGGAGGAGGAGGUGGUGGAGGAGUACCGGCGGGCGGGGAGGCUCCACACCUACGACGAGGACAAGGAAUGGCAGAAGCGCUUUGCCAGGGUCGCCAAACAACAUCCGCACGCUUGGCCCAAGCAUAUGGUCGCGGAGAUUGAGGAAUACAUCACCUACCUCGACGAGGACGAGGACGACUUUAGGAUAGGACUUUACUCGUUAAUCGGGGAUGAAAUCACAGACUAA